CCAAAAGUUCUUCUUAGAACCAUAGAAUAGAAUCAUAGAAUCAAUA
rfam:Picoides pubescens contig46534, whole genome shotgun sequence.